GAUGAACGCUGGCGGCGUGCUUAACACAUGCAAGUCGAACGAAGCACCUUGAUUUGAUUCUUCGGAUGAAGAUCUUGGUGACUGAGUGGCGGACGGGUGAGUAACGCGUGGGUAACCUGCCUCAUACAGGGGGAUAACAGUUAGAAAUGACUGCUAAUACCGCAUAAGACCACAGCACCGCAUGGUGCAGGGGUAAAAACUCCGGUGGUAUGAGAUGGACCCGCGUCUGAUUAGGUAGUUGGUGGGGUAACGGCCUACCAAGCCGACGAUCAGUAGCCGACCUGAGAGGGUGACCGGCCACAUUGGGACUGAGACACGGCCCAAACUCCUACGGGAGGCAGCAGUGGGGAAUAUUGCACAAUGGGGGAAACCCUGAUGCAGCGACGCCGCGUGAGCGAUGAAGUAUUUCGGUAUGUAAAGCUCCAUCAGCAGGGAAGAAAAUGACGGUACCUGACUAAGAAGCCCCGGCUAACUACGUGCCAGCAGCCGCGGUAAUACGUAGGGGGCAAGCGUUAUCCGGAUUUACUGGGUGUAAAGGGAGCGUAGACGGCAUGGCAAGCCAGAUGUGAAAGCCCGGGGCUCAACCCCGGGACUGCAUUUGGAACUGUCAGGCUAGAGUGUCGGAGAGGAAAGCGGAAUUCCUAGUGUAGCGGUGAAAUGCGUAGAUAUUAGGAGGAACACCAGUGGCGAAGGCGGCUUUCUGGACGAUGACUGACGUUGAGGCUCGAAAGCGUGNGGAGCANACAGG
rnacentral:rRNA from 1 species